rnacentral:rRNA from 1 species
AUUGAACGCUGGCGGCAGGCUUAACACAUGCAAGUAGAGCGAGCGGCGGACGGGUGAGUAAUGUCUGGGAAACUGCCUGGUGGAGGGGGAUAACUACUGGAAACGGUAGAUAAUACCGCAUACCAUCAGAUGUGCCCAGAUGGGUUUAGCUAGUAGGUGGGGUAAUGGCUAACCUAGGCGACGACCCCUAGCUGGACGGAGAGGAUGACCAGCCACACUGGAACGGAGACACGGUCCAGACUCCUACGAGAGGCAGCAGUGGGGAAUUUUGCACAAGGGGCGCAAGCCUGAUGCAGCCAUGCCGCGUGUGUGACGAAGGCCUUCGGGUUGUAAAGCACUUUCAGCGAGGAGGCGUUACUCGCAGAAGAAGCACCGGCUAACUCCGUGCCAGCAGCCGCGGUAAUAC